CUCCUACGGGAGGCAGCAGUAGGGAAUCUUCGGCAAUGGGCGAAAGCCUGACCGAGCAACGCCGCGUGAAUGAUGAAGGCCUUCGGGUUGUAAAAUUCUGUUAUAAGGGAAGAACGACUUUAGUAGGAAAUGGCUAGAGUGUGACGGUACCUUAUGAGAAAGCCACGGCUAACUACGUGCCAGCAGCCGCGGUAAUACGUAGGUGGCGAGCGUUAUCCGGAAUUAUUGGGCGUAAAGAGCGCGCAGGUGGUUGAUUAAGUCUGAUGUGAAAGCCCACGGCUUAACCGUGGAGGGUCAUUGGAAACUGGUCGACUUGAGUGCAGAAGAGGGAAGUGGAAUUCCAUGUGUAGCGGUGAAAUGCGUAGAGAUAUGGAGGAACACCAGUGGCGAAGGCGGCUUCCUGGUCUGUAACUGACACUGAGGCGCGAAAGCGUGGGGAGCAAACAGGAUUAGAUACCCUGGUAGUCCACGCCGUAAACGAUGAGUGCUAAGUGUUGGGGGUCGAACCUCAGUGCUGAAGUUAACGCAUUAAGCACUCCGCCUGGGGAGUACGGUCGCAAGACUGAAACUCAAAGGAAUUGACGG
rnacentral:rRNA from 1 species